AUGGCGCCAACGGAGGGUGACGAGCAGCCCCCGUUGCGCAUGCUCUUCUUCCCGUUCCUCCUCCCUGGCCACCUCAUCCCGAUGGCCGACAUGGCCGCGCUCUUCGCCGCCCGUGGCAUUAGGUGCACCAUCCUUACCACGCCCUUGCAAGCUUCGACCAUCCGCUCCAUCGUCGACCGUGCCAACACUUCCCUAGGUUCGCAUGAAAAACGUCGCACAGGAGCUAUUGGCCCUCCUUUCCCAGACAUUGGGCUUCCCCCCAGUGCCGAGAGCGGGAUUGGCCUGAUAUCCAAGGACUACAACGACAGGUUCCUUCGGACGGCGGAGCUGCCCCAGGAGCCCUUCCGCCGCUUCCUGUCCAGCCACCACGCCGAGAUCGACGCCGUCGUCUCCGACGGCCUCUUCCACUGGUCCGUGGAUGACGCCGCAGAGCAUGGAAUCCUGCGCAUCACCAACCCGUUCGAGGCGUGCCCCGACGACCCAGCCACCAUCGUCUCUCUGCCGGGGCUGCCGCACCGGGUGGUGGAGCUGCGGGGGCAGAUGAUGGACCCUGUGAAGCGGCCACAUGAGUGGGCAUGGUUCCAGCUCAUCCACGCCACGGAUCGGUGGAGCUACGGCGAGCUCUUCAACAGCUUCCACGAGCUGGAGCCGGCCUACGCUGAGCACUACCGCGCCACACUCCACCGCCGAGCCUGUCUUGUCGGCCCGGUUGCGCUCGCAAGCGGCAGCGGGAAGGACGUGACGUCAAGAGGCGCAGUUGCUGGCGCGCUCUCACCGGAGUCCAUCGGGUGCCUGCGGUGGCUCGACGAGAAGCCGGCCAGCUCAGUGUUGUACGUCUCCUUCGGCACAAUGAAAAUCUUCUCGCCCGAGCAGAUGCGGGAGCUCGCCCGCGGCCUUGACCUCUCGGGCAAAAACUUCGUGUGGGUCAUCGCCAAUGGAAGUGCAUCAACGGAUCUGUGUAUGCCAGUCGGGUUCCCGAUGGCACACCGCGGGUACAUUGUCCGGGGCUGGGCGCCGCAGGUGCUCAUCUUGAACCGCCCCGCCGUUGGUGGUUACAUGACGCACUGUGGGUGGAACUCCACGCUGGAGGCUGUGAGCGCCGGCGUGCCGAUGGUGACGUGGCCGUGGUACGCCGACCAGUUUCACAAUGAGAAGCUCGUCGUGGAGGUGCUUGAGGUGGGCUUCGGCGUCGGUGCUGAGGACUACGCAAUAUGGAUGGAGACCCACCGACUUAUCGGCAGCGAGGUGAUCGCCGAAUCCAUCAGGAAAGUGAUGAAGGAGGAGGGCGACGGCGACACGAUACGAAAGAAAGCUGAGGAGCUCCGCGACAAGGCGAGGGCCGCGGUGGAGAAGGGUGGGUCGUCCUACGACGAUGUUGGGCAGCUCAUGGAGGAAUUGAUCGCCCGCCGGUGCUGUAGACGUACGGCGGGUGAAUAA
rnacentral:rRNA from 1 species